GACUGGUUGCGGGCGGGUGACCAAAGCACAAAAUAUUUUCAGAAUCGGGCGUCGCAUCGCAAGAGGAAAAACACCAUUCGUGCUUUGCGCAGGGAGGAUGGUACGAGAUGUAUGGUAGACGAGGAGAUGCGUGAGUUGGCAGCCAGUUUUUAUGAAUCUUUGUUUACAUCAGAAGGAUCAGUGGAUGCACAGGAGAUACUAGAAAAUAUUAAUCAGCUGGUCUCGGACGAUAUGAACGCCAAGCUAACAUCUGCUAUCUCCGAUGUGGAAAUUGAAGCUGUGUUGUUUCAAAUGGGACAGACGAAAGCGCCGGGGCCAGACGGGUUACCUGCUCUCUUUUACCAAAGACACUGGUCGUUGGUGAAGAGUGAUGUAUGCACGGCCGUUCGGGGUUUUUUGAGUGGGGCUUUGACCCCGGCUGAUUUUAAUGAUACAAUCAUUGUCAUGAUUCCAAAAGUUAACUCACCGGAGUUGCUUUCACAGUUCCGCCCCAUCAGUUUAUGCAACGUCUUGUACAAGAUUGCCACCAAGGUGUUGGCGAAUAGGUUAAAGGGUAUUCUUCCACUUUUAAUCUCUGAAGAACAAAGCGCUUUUGUGCCCGGGCGUCUGAUCACUGAUAAUGUGUUGGUGGCAUAUGAGUGUGUACACGCUAUUCGCAAAAGGAAAAGAAAGAAGAGUUUGUGUGCGAUUAAGUUGGAUAUGAUGAAAGCGUAUGACCGAGUGGAGUGGAUAUUCCUGGAGAGGGUUAUGACACAUUUUGGUUUUGAUCCGAUGUGGGUCGCAAUGAUAAUGAGAUGCAUCACCUCGGCGCGUUUUUCUGUAAAAUUAAAUGGUGGGCUAUCCAGGAGCUUUACACCUUCUCGGGGUUUAAGACAGGGGGAUCCGUUGUCACCAUAUUUGUUCCUCUUCUGUGUGGAGGGUUUUUCAGCGCUACUCAAGAAGGCUCAAACUGACAAACAGCUUUCCGGGGUGAAGUUUGGGAGCACUGGCCCCCAUAUAACUCACUUGUUGUUUGCAGAUGAUAGUAUAGUUUUCCUUGAGGGAACCAAGGAGAAUAUGGAAACACUAAAACAGAUCCUUGAAAAGUAUGAAAAAGCAUCCGGACAGAAGGUAAAUUUGCAGAAAUCCUCCAUCUUUUUUGGAAAAAGAAGCCAUGAUGUGAUGAAGGAUCAGAUUAAGCAGAUUGUGGGGAUUCAAUCUGAGGCUCUUAGUGAACGAUACUUGGGCCUCCCAACACUGGUUGGUAGGUCCAAGGAUGGCACUUUUAAAUAUGUUACGGAGUGUGCUAAGGGUAAAGUGUGUGGUUGGAAGGGACAAGGAUUGUCAAAAGCAGCUAGAGAAGCUCUCAUCAAAUCUGUCCUGCAAGCGACACCGACCUAUACCAUGAGUUGUUUUCACCUCUCGAAGAAGAUGUGCCGGAACCUGACUUCAAUCUCGUCCAAAUUCUGGUGGGGUGCAAUGAAUGGUGAGAGAAAGGUCCAUGGGAUCGCUUGGGAGAAGAUGUGUGCGAGCAAGAGGGAUGGGGGUAUGGGGUUUCGUGACCCCGAGGCAUUCAACCAAGCUUUGUUGGCGAAACAAGCAUGGUGUAUUCUUCAAGUUCCAACUUCUCUAUGUGCUAGAGUGCUCAAAGCAAGGUAUUUUCAAGAUAAUUCAAUUUUGUCUGCUUCCUGCCCAGCCUCGGGCUCGUUCACUUUCAGGAGUAUCUUGCACGGCCGGGACUUGCUAAGGGAGGGCCUCAUAUGGAGAGUUGGGGCGGGGCUCAACAUUAACAUUCACCACGACUCGUGGAUACCUCGGGAUGGGAGCACCAAACCCCUAGGCCAAGUAUACAUACAGGGUGUGACCAAGGUGGCUCACUUAAUCAACCCUGAUGGUGUGUCGUGGAAUGAGGAGUUGGUGGAUCAGAUGUUUACAGUGGCAGAUGCUACGGACAUGAAGCAAAUUGCGAUUGGCGGCCCGGGGGCUGAUGAUUAUCUUGCAUGGAAUUUUACGCGUAAUGGUGUAUUUACCGUUAGAUCGGCAUACCACCUACGAAUGGCCUUGAACAGAACGAGGUCCGGACAGCCGGAGUCCUCGAGUUCGGUAGCUAUGCACAAAGGAUAUUUGGAGCUGUGGGAUACAAGUGCGCCGGGCAAGGUCAAAAUUCAUAUGUGGCGCAUGAUCCGCAACGGGCUUGCUGUAGGGGCAGAACUCCACCAACGUCGGAUCAAGCCGGGCGUUUUUUGUGUUGUGUGUGCCCGU
rnacentral:rRNA from 1 species